AUGGUAGGAAAGCUCGAAGCGGUACAAUCUGGGACAGCAGACUUUAAUUCGGGUCCUUGGCACCGCGUGGUGUUCAGGCGCUUUGUGGAGGUUGGCCGAGUGGCCUACGUCUCCUUUGGGCCUCAUGCCGGAAAGCUGGUCGCAAUUGUAGAUGUUAUUGAUCAGAACAGGGCUUUGGUUGAUGGACCUUGCACUCAGGUAAGAAGACAGGCCAUGCCUUUCAAAUGCGUGCAGCUCACUGACUUCAUCCUCAAGUUCCCACACAGUGCCCUCCAGAAGUAUGUCCGACAAGCCUGGCAGAAGGCAGAUGUAAACACAAAAUGGGCAGCCACAAGAUGGGCCAAGAAGAUUGAAGCCAGAGAAAGAAAAGCUAAGAUGAUGGACUUUGAUCAUUUUAAAGUAAUGAAGGCAAAGAAAAUGAGGAACAGAAUAAUCAAGAAUGAAGUUAAGAAGCUUCAAAAGGCAGCUCUCCUAAAAGCUUCUCCCAAAAAAGCACCUGCUAAGGGUGCUGCUGCAAUUGCAGCAGCUGCUGCUAAAGUUCCAGCAAAAAAGAUGACCACUGCAGGCAAGAAGGCUCCAGCCCAGAAGGUUCCUGCCCAGAAAGCCACAGGCCAGAAGGCAGCACCUCCUCCAAAAGUUCAAAAGGGUCAAAAAGCUCCAGCCCAGAAAGCACUGGCUCCAAAGCCAUCUGGCAAGAAUGCAUAAGAGGUUAUUAUAAAAGUAAUAAAGGUUCUUUUUGACAUGUU